rnacentral:rRNA from 1 species
GAUGAACGCUGGCGGCGUGCCUAAUACAUGCAAGUCGAGCGAACAGGCGAGGAGCUUGCUCCUCUGACGUUAGCGGCGGACGGGUGAGUAACACGUGGAUAACCUACCUAUAAGACUGGGAUAACUUCGGGAAACCGGAGCUAAUACCGGAUAAUAUAUUGAACCGCAUGGUUCAAUAGUGAAAGACGGUUUUGCUGUCACUUAGAGAUGGAUCCGCGCCGCAUUAGCUAGUUGGUAAGGUAACGGCUUACCAAGGCAACGAUGCGUAGCCGACCUGAGAGGGUGAUCGGCCACACUGGAACUGAGACACGGUCCAGACUCCUACGGGAGGCAGCAGUGGGGAAUCUUCCGCAAUGGGCGAAAGCCUGACGGAGCAACGCCGCGUGAGUGAUGAAGGUCUUCGGAUCGUAAAACUCUGUUAUUAGGGAAGAACAAAUGUGUAAGUAACUAUGCACGUCUUGACGGUACCUACACAGAAAGCCACGGCUAACUACGUG